AGAGUUUGAUCAUGGCUCAGAACGAACGCUGGCGGCGUGCUUAACACAUGCAAGUCGCGUGCGCAGUCCGUAGCAAUACGGAUGGGCGCACGGCGCACGGGUGCGUAACACGUGGGCAAUCUGCCCUCUGAUGGGGAAUAACCCGCCGAAAGGCGGGCUAAUUCCGCAUAAGAUUCCCGGGACUUCGGUUCUGGGAUUGAAAGCAGUAAUGCGUCGGAGGAGGAGCCCGCGCCCGAUUAGCUAGUUGGUGAGGUAACGGCUCACCAAGGCAAUGAUCGGUAGCUGGUCUGAGAGGAUGAUCAGCCACACUGGAACUGAGACACGGUCCAGACUCCUACGGGAGGCAGCAGUGGGGAAUCUUGCACAAUGGGCGAAAGCCUGAUGCAGCGACGCCGCGUGGGGGAUGAAGCAUUUCGGUGUGUAAACCCCUUUCGACUGGGAAGAAUACCUCGCAAGAGGGGUGACGGUACCAGUAGAAGAAGCCCCGGCUAACUACGUGCCAGCAGCCGCGGUAAGACGUAGGGGGCCAGCGUUGUUCGGAAUUACUGGGUGUAAAGGGUUCGUAGGCGGUGCGGCAAGUUGGGAGUGAAAUCUCUGGGCUUAACCCAGAGGCUGCUUCCAAAACUGCUGUGCUCGAGUGUGGGAGAGGCGCGUGGAAUUGCAGGUGUAGCGGUGAAAUGCGUAGAUAUCUGCAGGAACACCCGUGGCGAAAGCGGCGCGCUGGACCACUACUGACGCUGAGGAACGAAAGCUAGGGGAGCAAACAGGAUUAGAUACCCCGGUAGUCC
rnacentral:rRNA from 1 species